rnacentral:rRNA from 1 species
CCUACGCGAGGCAGCAGUGGGGAAUAUUGCACAAUGGGGGGAACCCUGAUGCAGCAACGCCGCGUGGGUGAAGAAGUACUCCGGUAUGUAAAGCCCUGUCGGCAGGGAAGAAAAUGACGGUACCUGACCAAGAAGCCCCGGCUAACUACGUGCCAGCAGCCGCGGUAAUACGUAGGGGGCAAGCGUUAUCCGGAUUUACUGGGUGUAAAGGGAGCGUAGACGGCAGUGCAAGUCUGGAGUGAAAGGCGGGGGUUCAACCCCCGGACUGCCCUGGAAACUGUACGGCUGGAGUGCAGGAGAGGUAAGUGGAAUUCCUAGUGUAGCGGUGAAAUGCGUAGAUAUUAGGAGGAACACCAGUGGCGAAGGCGGCUUACUGGACUGUAACUGACGUUGAGGCUCGAAAGCGUGGGGAGCAAACAGGAUUAGAUACCCUUGUAGUC